AUUGAACGCUAGCGGCAGGCCUAACACAUGCAAGUCGAGCGAGCGGCGGACGGGUGAGUAAUGUCUGGGAAACUGCCUGAUGGAGGGGGAUAACUACUGGAAACGGUAGCUAAUACCGCAUACCAUCAGAUGUGCCCAGAUGGGCUUGGCUAGUAGGUUGGGUAACGGCUCACCUAGCCGACGAUCCCUAGCUGGUCUGAGAGGAUGACCAGCCACCCGGAAAAUGAGACACGGCCCAGUCCCGUACGAGAGGCAGCGGUGGGGAAUAUUGCACAAUGGGCGCGAGCCUGAUGCAGCCAUGCCGCGUGGAUGAAAAAGGCCUUCGGGUUGUAAAGUACUUUCAGCGGGGAGGCGGUACCCGCAGAAGAAGCACCGGCUAACUCCGUGCCAGCAGCCGCGGUAAUUC
rnacentral:rRNA from 1 species